rnacentral:rRNA from 1 species
GAUGAACGCUGGCGGCGUGCUUAACACAUGCAAGUCGAACGGUAAGGCCCUUCGGGGUACACGAGUGGCGAACGGGUGAGUAACACGUGGGUGAUCUGCCCUGCACUUCGGGAUAAGCCUGGGAAACUGGGUCUAAUACCGGAUAGGACCCUGGGAUGCAUGUCCUGGGGUGGAAAGCUUUUGCGGUGUGGGAUGGGCCCGCGGCCUAUCAGCUUGUUGGUGGGGUGAUGGCCUACCAAGGCGACGACGGGUAGCCGGCCUGAGAGGGUGACCGGCAACACUCGGACUGUGAUACGGCCCAGACUCCUACGGGAGGAAGCAGUGGGGAAUAUUGCACAAUGGGCGCAAGCCUGAUGCAGCGACGCCGCGUGAGGGAUGACGGCCUUCGGGUUGUAAACCUCUUUCAGCACCGACGAAGCGCAAGUGACGGUAGGUGCAGAAGAAGGACCGGCCAACUACGUGCCAGCAGCCGCCGUAA